UAAUAUUUGCUAUUUGUAAAAGAGGCAAAUAUGUUCUACCAAAGAAAGCCCUUCUUCUUUUCAUUUGUGAAAAUGAAACAUACUGACUUUUACUUAUAAUUUUUGCUUUCAGAGUCCUUUUAAAGAUACUCAUUUCUACCCAGGAUCACAAAAGUAUUCUCCAAUAUUUUUUUCUAAAAUGUUUGUAAUGUCACAUCUCACAUUUCCUUCUUUAAUCUACAUGGAAUUGGUUUUACACUAUGGUGCGGCAGUCUUUGUAGAAGUUUGUCUACUUUAUAAGCAAUUCCAAAGAUACAGCGGUACUUCUGUUAAUUUUCACCUUUAAUCAACAGCAUACAUUGAUGAUAGACGCUAUGUAUGCCAAGAUAAUUUAAUAAUGGAGGAGGACUGUGCAGUCAAAAUUCAUGUGAAAGCAUGUUCGAAGGAUUCAAAAGGCUCGGUGGCUGGACAGAGUCAGGAAGACUCUAAGGUACAGGUACUGAACGUGACAGAUUAAAACACCUGGCACCUGGAGGGGAGGACUGGGGAGGUUCUAACAUGAGUUGAAAAAGCUAAGCCCUAAAGGGUUUAAUUUAGGAGACCGGUGGCGAUGUUGUAGUUGAGCAGUGUAACUAGGAAGGCUUUGGUCCAACAGACCUUCGGACUGGAUAAAUGCUCCUGGGAUGAUUUAGCCUAGGCGAGGAAGCAGAAAGAUAGAGGUUCAAAGAUUUUACUUCCUGCUACUGUGGCAACGUGGGAUUUGAGAGUCACUGUCAUCCAGUGUCACGUGAAUAGGGUGAGACGGUGGCCCUUGCUGGGCCAGCCCCAGCCCCUCUGCCCUCCUGCUGCUGUGAGUUGGCUGGCAAUUUACAGCUGCCCCCGUUAUCCCGAGGGGACCCUCUGGGCUGCGGGACCCUCUGGUCUGCGGGACACUCUGGACUGGGGGACACUCUGGACUGGGGGACACUCUGGACUGGGGGACCCUCAGGGCUGCGGGACACUCUGGUCUGCGGGACACUCUGGACUGGGGGACACUCUGGGCUGGGGGACCCUCAGGGCUGCGGGACGCUCUGG
rnacentral:lncRNA from 1 species